rnacentral:rRNA from 1 species
GACGUAGGGCGCGAGCGUGUCCGGAUUUAUUGGGCGUAAAGAGCUCGUAGGCGGCUUGUCGCGUCGACCGUGAAAACUUGGGGCUCAACCCCAAGCCUGCGGUCGAUACGGGCAGGCUCGAGUUCGGUAGGGGAGACUGGAAUUCCUGGUGUAGCGGUGAAAUGCGCAGAUAUCAGGAGGAACACCGGUGGCGAAGGCGGGGUCUCCUGGGCCGAUACUGACGUGAGGAGCGAAAGCGUGGGGAGCGAACAGG